rnacentral:rRNA from 1 species
AGAGUUUGAUCCUGGCUCAGGACGAACGCUGGCGGCGUGCUUAACACAUGCAAGUCGAACGGAAAGGCCCUGCUUGCAGGGUACUCGAGUGGCGAACGGGUGAGUAACACGUGGGUGAUCUGCCCUGCACUUCGGGAUAAGCCUGGGAAACUGGGUCUAAUACCGGAUAGGAGCCAUUUUUAGUGUGAUGGUUGGAAAGUUUUUUCGGUGUAGGAUGAGCUCGCGGCCUAUCAGCUUGUUGGUGGGGUAAUGGCCUACCAAGGCGGCGACGGGUAGCCGGCCUGAGAGGGUGGACGGCCACAUUGGGACUGAGAUACGGCCCAGACCCCUACGGGAGGCAGCAGUGGGGAAUAUUGCACAAUGGGCGCAAGCCUGAUGCAGCGACGCCGCGUGGGGGAUGACGGCCUUCGGGUUGUAAACUCCUUUCGCUAGGGACGAAGCUUUUGUGACGGUACCUAGAUAAGAAGCACCGGCUAACUACGUGCCAGCAGCCGCGGUAAUACGUAGGGUGCGAGCGUUGUCCGGAAUUACUGGGCGUAAAGGACUCGUAGGUGGUUUGUCGCGUCGUCUGUGAAAUUCCGGGGCUUAACUCCGGGCGUGCAGGCGAUACGGGCAUAACUUGAGUACUGUAGGGGUAACUGGAAUUCCUGGUGUAGCGGUGAAAUGCGCAGAUAUCAGGAGGAACACCGAUGGCGAAGGCAGGUUACUGGGCAGUUACUGACGCUGAGGAGCGAAAGCAUGGGUAGCGAACAGGAUUAGAUACCCUGGUAGUCCAUGCCGUAAACGGUGGGCGCUAGUGUGAGGGUCUUUUCACGACUUUCGUGCCGUAGCUAACGCAUUAAGCGCCCCGCCUGGGGAGUACGGCCGCAAGCUAAACUCAAAGGAAU